rnacentral:lncRNA from 7 species
GUGAAACCCUAGGUACAUGGGUACAAGUAUAUAUAGAACCCUAGUGGGCCAGGCCCAUAUACACAGAUACUCUAACAUAUACUUCUAUGGCAUCCUUUCUAGUUAUGCUUCACAAGGAUUGGAUGUUAGUUCCCUGUUUGUUCAGAACAUAAGGAAAUACAGUUACAAAAUCAUCAUAAUAUAAAUACCAUCGAUGUUAGAUUUGAAUAACAGAUAGAGUUCUCCAAAGACUAUAUUAGGAUGCUCUAGAGAGUCACUUCCUGUG